UACGGGGGGAGCAAGCGUUGUUCGGAUUUACUGGGCGUAAAGGGCGCGUAGGCGGGCAGGUAAGUCAGUGGUGAAAUCUCCGGGCUUAACCCGGAAACUGCCGUUGAUACUAUCUGUCUUGAAUAUCGUGGAGGUAAGCGGAAUAUGUCAUGUAGCGGUGAAAUGCUUAGAUAUGACAUAGAACACCCAUUGCGAAGGCAGCUUACUACACGAUCAUUGACGCUGAGGCACGAAAGCGUGGGGAGCAAACAGG
rnacentral:rRNA from 1 species